rnacentral:rRNA from 1 species
AAUGAACGUUGGCGGCGUGGAUUAGGCAUGCAAGUCGAACGCUUCAUGUAGCAAUACAUGAGGAGUGGCGUAAGGGAGAGUAAUACAUAGUUAGCUGCCCUCGGGUCUGGGAUAGCGGCGGGAAACUGCCGGUAAUACCAGAUGAUAUCUUCGGAUCAAAGGUGUAAUUUCGCCCGAGGAGGUGACUGUGUCCUAUCAGCUUGUUGGCGGGGUAACGGCCCACCAAGGCUAAGACGGGUAUGGGGCGUGAGAGCGUGCCCCCAC